UACGGGGGGGGCAAGCGUUGUUCGGAAUUACUGGGCGUAAAGGGCUCGUAGGCGGCCAACUAAGUCAGACGUGAAAUCCCCAGGCUCAACCUGGGAACUGCGUCUGAUACUGGAUGGCUUGAAUUCGGGAGAGGGAAGCGGAAUUCCGGGUGUAGCGGUGAAAUGCGUAGAUAUCCGGAGGAACACCGGUGGCGAAGGCGGGUCUCUGGGCCGAUACUGACGCUGAGGAGCGAAAGCGUGGGGAGCAAACAGG
rnacentral:rRNA from 1 species